GGGCCCGCACAAGCGGUGGAGUAUGUGGUUUAAUUCGAUGCAACGCGAAGAACCUUACCAGGGCUUGACAUCCUGCGAAUCUCUGGGAAACCGGAGAGUGCCUUCGGGAACGCAGUGACAGGUGGUGCAUGGCUGUCGUCAGCUCGUGUCGUGAGAUGUUGGGUUAAGUCCCGCAACGAGCGCAACCCUUGUCCUUAGUUACCAGCGGGUUAAGCCGGGAACUCUAAGGAUACUGCCAGUGACAAACUGGAGGAAGGCGGGGACGACGUCAAGUCAUCAUGGCCCUUACGACCAGGGCUACACACGUGCUACAAUGGUAGGUACAGAGGGCAGCUACACAGCGAUGUGAUGCGAAUCUCAAAAAGCCUAUCGUAGUCCAGAUUGGAGUCUGCAACUCGACCCCGUGAAGCUGGAAUCGCUAGUAAUCG
rnacentral:rRNA from 1 species